rnacentral:rRNA from 1 species
GGGUUGUGAGGUUAAGCGACUAAGCGUACACGGUGGAUGCCCUGGCAGUCAGAGGCGAUGAAGGACGUGCUAAUCUGCGAUAAGCGCCGGUAAGGUGAUAUGAACCGUUAUAACCGGCGAUUUCCGAAUGGGGAAACCCAGUGUGACUCGUCACACUAUCAUUAACUGAAUCCAUAGGUUAAUGAGGCGAACCGGGGGAACUGAAACAUCUAAGUACCCCGAGGAAAAGAAAUCAACCGAGAUUCCCCCAGUAGCGGCGAGCGAACGGGGAGGAGCCCAGAGCCUGAAUCAGCAUGUGUGUUAGUGGAAGCGUCUGGAAAGGCGCGCGAUACAGGGUGACAGCCCCGUACACAAAAGCGCAUGUGCUGUGAGCUCGAUGAGUAGGGCGGGACACGUGGUAUCCUGUCUGAAUAUGGGGGGACCAUCCUCCAAGGCUAAAUACUCCUGACUGACCGAUAGUGAACCAGUACCGUGAGGGAAAGGCGAAAAGAACCCCGGCGAGGGGAGUGAAAAAGAACCUGAAACCGUGUACGUACAAGCAGUGGGAGCCCCACCACUAAGCCAGUGGUGAACUCCACAUACGCAUCCUUUGCUGAGGAUACGGUUAACGGAGCGAAAGCGACGUUCAACCGCAAAAGAAGCAGAGGGGGCUUAGUGGUGGGGUGACUGCGUACCUUUUGUAUAAUGGGUCAGCGACUUAUAUUCUGUAGCAAGGUUAACCGAAUAGGGGAGCCGGAGGGAAACCGAGUCUUAAC